GCCAGACUCCUACGGGAGGCAGCAGUGAGGAAUAUUGGUCAAUGGGCGGGAGCCUGAACCAGCCAAGUCGCGUGAGGGAAGACGGUCCUACGGAUUGUAAACCUCUUUUGCCGGGGAGCAACGGGGUCCUUGCGAGGGCCCAAUGAGAGUACCCGGAGAAAAAGCAUCGGCUAACUCCGUGCCAGCAGCCGCGGUAAUACGGAGGAUGCGAGCGUUAUCCGGAUUUAUUGGGUUUAAAGGGUGCGUAGACGGGAAAACAAGUUAGUUGUGAAAUCCCUCGGCUUAACUGAGGAACUGCAACUAAAACUAUUUUUCUUGAGUGCAGGAGAGGUAAGUGGAAUUCCUAGUGUAGCGGUGAAAUGCGUAGAUAUUAGGAGGAACACCAGCGGCGAAGGCGACUUACUGGACUGUAACUGACGUUGAGGCACGAAAGUGUGGGGAGCAAACAGGAUUAGAUACCCUAGUAA
rnacentral:rRNA from 1 species